rnacentral:rRNA from 1 species
GAUGAACGCUAGCGGCAGGCUUAAUACAUGCAAGUCGUGGGGCAGCAGGUUUGUAGCAAUACAGAUGCUGGCGACCGGCAAACGGGUGCGUAACACGUACGCAACCUUCCCGUUACUGGGGAAUAGCCCAGGGAAACUUGGAUUAAUACCCCAUAUUCUAUUUGUCAGGCAUCUGCCUGAUAUCAAAGCUCCGGCGGUAACGGCUGGGCGUGCGGUUGAUUAGGUAGUUGGCGGGGUAACGGCCCACCAAGCCUACGAUCAAUAGCUGAUGUGAGAGCACGAUCAGCCACACGGGCACUGAGACACGGGCCCGACUCCUACGGGAGGCAGCAGUAAGGAAUAUCGGGCAAUGGACGCAAGUCUGACCCAGCCAUGCCGCGUGAAGGAUGAAGGUCCUCUGGAUUGUAAACUUCUUUUAUCUGGGGCGAAAACCGGUUAUUCUUAACCGUUUGACAGUACCAGAGGAAUAAGCACCGGCUAACUCCGUGCCAGCAGCCGCAGUAAGAC